rnacentral:rRNA from 1 species
CCCUUAGAUGUUCUGGGCCGCACGCGCGCUACACUGAUGCAUUCAACAAGUUCUACCUUGGCCGAGAGGCCUGGGAAAUCUUUCAAAUAUGUAUCGUGAUGGGGAUAGAUUAUUGCAAUUAUUAAUCUUGAACGAGGAAUUCCUAGUAAAUGCAGAUCAUCAUUCUGCGUUGAUUACGUCCCUGCCCUUUGUACACACCGCCCGUCGCACCUACCGAUUGAAUGAUCCGGUGAAGCCUCGGGAUUGUGCCCAGAGAACUUUAUUGUGAUUUGGGUGUGAGAACUUGUCUAAACCUUAUCAUUUAGAGGAAGGUGAAGUCGUAACA